CACUCCUACGGGAGGCAGCAGUGGGGAAUUUUGGACAAUGGGCGAAAGCCUGAUCCAGCAAUGCCGCGUGAGUGAAGAAGGCCUUCGGGUUGUAAAGCUCUUUUGUCAGGGAAGAAACGGUGAAAGCUAAUAUCUUUUGCUAAUGACGGUACCUGAAGAAUAAGCACCGGCUAACUACGUGCCAGCAGCCGCGGUAAUACGUAGGGUGCAAGCGUUAAUCGGAAUUACUGGGCGUAAAGCGUGCGCAGGCGGUUUUGUAAGUCUGAUGUGAAAUCCCCGGGCUCAACCUGGGAAUUGCAUUGGAGACUGCAAGGCUAGAAUCUGGCAGAGGGGGGUAGAAUUCCACGUGUAGCAGUGAAAUGCGUAGAUAUGUGGAGGAACACCGAUGGCGAAGGCAGCCCCCUGGGUCAAGAUUGACGCUCAUGCACGAAAGCGUGGGGAGCAAACAGGAUUAGAUACCCUUGUAGUCCCA
rnacentral:rRNA from 1 species